rnacentral:rRNA from 1 species
UACGUAGGGCGCAAGCGUGUCCGGAAUUAUUGGGCGUUAAAGAGCUCGUAGGUGGCUUGUCACGUCGGGUGUGAAAGCUUGGGGCUUAACUCCAGGUUCUGCAUUCGAUACGGGCUGGCUAGGAGGUAGGUAGGGGGAGAACGGAAUUCCUGGUGUAGCGGUGAAAUGCGCGAUAUCAGGAGGAACACCGGUGGCGAAGGCGGUUCUCUGGGCCUUACCUGACGCUGGAGGAGCG